CUCGGUUUCUGCGGAGGCCGUGUCAGAAGCCGAAACAGCUGGAUUGCAUCUGGGAUUGCCAGAGUGUGCGCUUGUGGGGUUAAGCGUGUGAGGGCUGUGGCGUUCCCGGGUCAUCGCCAGCGUACCUUCUCCUGCAGGAGAUAAACUGCACUCAGCUGAGUCUGCAAGAUUGAGAGGCAUUGGGGUGAUUAGAAGUUGUAAAGGUUUAUUGAAGUCAAAAUGUCUCAAAAAAUCCAAGGCGGUUCUGUAGUAGAGAUGCAAGGAGAUGAAAUGACACGAAUCAUUUGGGAGUUGAUUAAAGAGAAACUUAUUUUUCCCUAUGUGGAAUUGGACCUGCACAGCUAUGAUUUAGGCAUAGAGAAUCGGGAUGCCACCAAUGACCAGGUCACCAAGGAUGCUGCAGAAGCUAUAAAGAAGUACAACGUUGGUGUCAAGUGUGCCACCAUCACCCCCGAUGAGAAGAGGGUGGAGGAGUUCAAGUUGAAACAAAUGUGGAAAUCACCAAAUGGCACCAUCCGAAAUAUUCUGGGUGGCACUGUGUUCAGAGAAGCUAUUAUCUGCAAAAAUAUCCCCCGGCUUGUGAGUGGAUGGGUAAAACCCAUCAUCAUAGGUCGUCAUGCUUAUGGCGAUCAAUACAGAGCAACUGAUUUUGUUGUCCCGGGGCCUGGAAAAGUAGAGAUAUCCUACACGCCAAGCGAUGGAUCCCCCAAAACGACAUACCUGGUACAUAAUUUCACAGAGGGUGGUGGUGUUGCCAUGGGGAUGUACAAUCAAGAUAAGGCAAUCGAAGAUUUUGCACACAGCUCUUUCCUGAUGGCUCUGUCUAAGAAUUGGCCUUUGUAUCUGAGCACCAAAAACACUAUUCUAAAGAAAUAUGAUGGACGUUUUAAAGACAUCUUUCAGGAGAUAUAUGACAAGCAGUACGAAUCUCAGUUUGAAGCUCAGAGUAUCUGGUACGAGCACAGGCUCAUAGAUGACAUGGUGGCCCAAGCUAUGAAAUCAGAGGGAGGCUUCGUCUGGGCCUGUAAAAACUAUGACGGGGAUGUGCAGUCGGACUCCGUGGCCCAAGUCCCACAUGAGCCUGUGAGCAGCUUGAUGGCAGGAGACAACUCAUUAAUCUUUAUUUUCCUGGAACAGCAGAGUAUCUGCACGUUAUGGCUCUCUUGGCAUGAUGACCAGUGUGCUGGUUUGUCCAGAUGGCAAGACAGUAGAAGCAGAGGCUGCCCACGGGACUGUAACACGUCACUACCGAAUGUACCAGAAAGGACAGGAGACAUCCACCAAUCCCAUUGCUUCCAUUUUUGCCUGGACCAGAGGCUUAGCCCACAGAGCUAAACUUGAUAACAAUAAAGACCUCAGCUUCUUUGCAAAGGUUUUGGAAGAAGUCUGUAUUGAGACCAUUGAGGCUGGCUUCAUGACCAAGGACUUGGCUGCUUGUAUUAAAGGUUUACCCAAUGUGCAGCGUUCUGACUACCUGAAUACCUUUGAGUUCAUGGAUAAACUCGGAGAAAACUUGAAGACAAAACUAGCUCAGGCCAAACUUUAAGGUCAUCGCUCGUCUUUGGAGGAUGUGUGUUUUUGGUAACUAGGUCCACUGGUUUACAUUUUUCUCUAUAACACUCAAGAGUAAAGGCAAAAUCAAUUCUGUAAUUUGUUUAGAAGCCAGAGUUUAUCUUUUCUAUAAGUUUACAGCCUUUUUCUUAUCCAUACAGUUAUGCCACCUCUGUGAACGUGGCAGGGGACUUUUUUUAAAUCUUAUUUUAUUUUCUACUAGUAGCCUAGGAAUUACUUUUAGUGUCCAUUUGUACUCACUGUCACUUUUCUUCAUGUUCUGAUAUAAAUGACCAAAAUGAAGAGUGCUUGAAAGGGUAAACUAUAGCCACGGUACUAUUCCCUAAAAUUGUAUAAAGUAGAAAUUCAUUCCCUUUCCCACUUUCCAUGGCCUGUGGCACUGGGUGGAUUUGAUUUAACAGAUGUCCCAUUAUGUGAGGUAGAAGCUGUACGUUAAACUUGCGCAUGAUUUGGAAUGAAAAGCAUGGCUGUAACUAAAAGGUGUUGAAGAAACAGUCAUCCUUGUAAAGAGCUCUAGCUGAAUGUUUCAAAAAUACUACAUAUUUUUGAGCUCACUGGAGAAUCCAGAAUAAAUACUAACUGGGGGUUUGUCCUCUGUGUUUGUCUCCUCCUCCUCGCCUUGUGUGGCCUAAGUAUUAUGCUACCCUGAACGGCGUAUUUCAUCCACGUGCAAUAUAUACUACAAGCUGCACCUUUCUUGGACUUCUGCUGACCUGUUUUAUUUCCUUUAUAUAAAUGUGAUUUUUCAGAAUUUGAUUGUAAACACUAUUCUAGUCCUGUUCUUAAUCUAAACUAUCAAUUUUAAUUAAAAUUAAGUGCUAAUGAGUA